UACGUAGGGUGCAAGCGUUGUCCGGAAUUAUUGGGCGUAAAGAGCUCGUAGGCGGUUUGUUGCGUCGGCUGUGAAAUCCCGAGGCUCAACCUCGGGUCUGCAGUCGAUACGAGCAAACUAGAGUGUUGCAGGGGAGACUGGAAUUCCUGGUGUAGCGGUGAAAUGCGCAGAUAUCAGGAGGAACACCGGUGGCGAAGGCGGGUCUCUGGGCCGUAACUGACGCUGAGGAGCGAAAGCAUGGGGGAGCGAACAGG
rnacentral:rRNA from 1 species